AUUGAACGCUGGCGGCAGGCCUCACACAUGCAAGUCGAACGAGUGGCGGACGGGUGAGUAAUGACUGGGAAACUGCCUGAUGGAGGGGGAUAACGACUGGAAAAGGUAGGUAAUAGCGCAGACCAUCGGAUGUGGCCCGAUGGGAUUAGCUAGGAGGUGGGGUAAAGGCUCACCUAGGCAGCGAUCCGUAACUGGUCUGAGAGGAUGAGACGUCACACUGGAACUGAGACACGGUCCCGACUCCGACGGGCGGCAGCAGUGGGGAAGAUUGGCAAAUGGGCGAAAGCCUGCUCCAGCCAUGCCGCGUGUGUGAAGAAGGUCUUCGGAUUGUAAAGCCCUUUAAGUUGGGAGGCGUUACCAACAGAAUAAGCACCGGCUAACUUCGUGCCAGCAGCCGCGGUAAUAC
rnacentral:rRNA from 1 species